UGUGGCAGAAAAGUGCUAUGGAAUUAAGCCCCAUCCAUGAAGGUAAAUCCUUCCAUUAAAA
rnacentral:tRNA from 1 species